AGGUCCCCAAAUAUAUGUUAAGUGGAAAAGGAUGUGGGGUUGCUUAGACAACCAGGAUGUUGGCUUAGAAGCAGCCACCAUUGAAAGAGUGCGUAAUAGCUCACUGGUCGAGUGACCCCGCGCCGAAAAUGUACCGGGGCUAAACAUAUUACCGAAACUGUGGAUGAACCUCUUUAGAGGUUCGUGGUAGGAGAGCGUUCUAAGGGCGGUGAAGUCAGACCGGAAGGACUGGUGGAGCGCUUAGAAGUGAGAAUGCCGGUAUGAGUAGCGAAAGAAGGGUGAGAAUCCCUUCCACCGAAUAUCUAAGGUUUCCUGAGGAAGGCUCGUCCGCUCAGGGUUAGUCGGGACCUAAGCCGAGGCCGAUAGGCGUAGGCGAUGGACAACAGGUAGAGAUUCCUGUACCAGUGCUAAUUGUUUAACCGAUGGGGUGACACAGAAGGAUAGGGAAUCGCACGAAUGGAAAUGUGCGUCCAAGCAGUGAGUGUGAGAAGUAGGCAAAUCCGCUUCUCGCGAAGCAUGAGCUGUGAUGGGGAAGGAAAUUAAGUACGGAAGUUCCUGAUUUCACGCUGUCAAGAAAAGCCUCUAGGAAGAGUAGUACUGCCCGUACCGCAAACCGACACAGGUAGAUGAGGAGAGAAUCCUAAGGUGAGCGAGAGAACUCUCGUUAAGGAACUCGGCAAAAUGACCCCGUAACUUCGGGAGAAGGGGUGCUCUAUUAGGGUGCAAGCCCGAGAGAGCCGCAGUGAAUAGGCCCAGGCGACUGUUUAGCAAAAACACAGGUCUCUGCAAAACCGUAAGGUGACGUAUAGGGGCUGACGCCUGCCCGGUGCUGGAAGGUUAAGAGGAGUGCUUAGCUUCGGCGAAGGUACGAAUUGAAGCCCCAGUAAACGGCGGCCGUAACUAUAACGGUCCUAAGGUAGCGAAAUUCCUUGUCGGGUAAGUUCCGACCCGCACGAAAGGCGCAACGAUCUGGGCACUGUCUCAACGAGAGACUCGGUGAAAUUAUAGUACCUGUGAAGAUGCAGGUUACCCGCGACAGGACGGAAAGACCCCGUGGAGCUUUACUGCAACCUGAUAUGGAAUGUUUGUACCGCUUGUACAGGAUAGGUAGGAGCCGAAGAGACGUGUGCGCUAGCAUACGAGGAGGCAAUGGUGGGAUACUACCCUGGCUGUAUGACCAUUCUAACCCGCCACGCUUAGCGCGUGGGGAGACAGUGUCAGGUGGGCAGUUUGACUGGGGCGGUCGCCUCCUAAAGAGUAACGGAGGCGCCCAAAGGUUCCCUCAGAAUGGAUGGAAAUCAUUCGCAGAGUGUAAAGGCACAAGGGAGCUUGACUGCGAGACUGACAAGUCGAGCAGGGACGAAAGUCGGGCUUAGUGAUCCGGUGGUUCCGCAUGGAAGGGCCAUCGCUCAACGGAUAAAAGCUACCCCGGGGAUAACAGGCUUAUCUCCCCCAAGAGUCCACAUCGACGGGGAGGUUUGGCACCUCGAUGUCGGCUCGUCGCAUCCUGGGGCUGUAGUCGGUCCCAAGGGUUGGGCUGUUCGCCCAUUAAAGCGGCACGCGAGCUGGGUUCAGAACGUCGUGAGACAGUUCGGUCCCUAUCCGUCGCGGGCGCAGGAAAUUUGAGAGGAGCUGUCCUUAGUACGAGAGGACCGGGAUGGACACACCGCUGGUGUACCAGUUGUUCCGCCAGGAGCAUCGCUGGGUAGCUAUGUGUGGCAGGGAUAAACGCUGAAAGCAUCUAAGCGUGAAGCCCCCCUCAAGAUGAGAUUUCCCAUUUCUUCGGAAAGUAAGAUCCCUGAAAGAUGAUCAGGUAGAUAGGUUUGGAGUGGAAGUGUAGCGAUACAUGGAGCGGACAAAUACUAAUCGAUCGAGGACUUAACCAAAA
rnacentral:rRNA from 1 species